AGAAUCAACGCUGGCGGCGUGCCUAACACAUGCAAGUCGAACGAGAAAGGGGUAGCAAUACCCUGAGUAAAGUGGCGGCACGGGUGAGUAACACGUGACUAACCUACCCUUGGAGGUGGGGGAUAACUGAGGGAAACCUUAGCUAAUACCGCAUAAUACCCACGGGUCAAAGGAGCAAUUCGCUCGAGGAGGGGUCGCGGCCGAUUAGUUAGUUGGCGGGGUAAUGGCCCACCAAGACGAUGAUCGGUA
rnacentral:rRNA from 1 species